AAGUGUUUUCUAUUUCUUCUGGGUUGGAUGGUUUGGGAGUCAAAUCCUACCACUCAGCUCUAAGAGAUAGCCUUUUGAGAUGUUCUGUCUAUUUCAAACUUCAAGUCUGCAUAAUUAUUUUGUGGGAAGCCGCCGUCUGUUCUUCACUGAAUGGGCGGAAUCAACGGAGUUCCACACGUUUACUUUGAGUAAAUUAGAGUGUUCAAAGCAGGCUUAUGCCGUGAAUACUUUAGCAUGGAAUAAUGGAACAGGACUUUGGUCAUGUUUUAUUGGUUUUUGAGGACCGAAGUAAUGAUUAAUAGGGAUAGUUGGGGGCAUUCGUAUUUCAUUGUCAGAGGUGAAAUUCUUGGAUUUAUGAAAGACGAACUAAUGCGAAAGCAUCUGCCAUGUUUUCAUUAAUCAAGAACGAAAGUUAGGGGAUCGAAGACGAUCAGAUACCGUCGUAGUCUUAACCAUAAACGAUGCCGACCAGGGAUCGGGCGGUUGUUUAUUUAUAUGACCCGCCCGGCACCAUUUUGGAGAAAUCAGAGUGUUUGGGUUCCGGGGGGAGUAUGGUCGCAAGGCUGAAACUUAAAGGAAUUGACGGAAGGGCACCACCAGGAGUGGAGCCUGCGGCUUAAUUUGACCCAACACGGGGAAACUCACCAGGUCCAGACAUAGGAAGGAUUGACAGAUUGAGAGCUCUUUCUUGAUUCUAUGGGUGGUGGUGCAUGGCCGUUCUUAGUUGGUGGAGUGAUUUGUCUGGUUAAUUCCGAUAACGAACGAGACCUCAGCCUACUAAAUAGCUACGCUCAUUUAGUUUUGUUUCGUUGCUGGCUUGCCAGUGGCGGAAUCGAUGGGUGGCUUAGCUUCUUAGAGGGACUAUCGGUGACUAACCGAUGGAAGUUUGAGGCAAUGACAGGUCUGUGAUGCCCUUAGAUGUCCUGGGCCGCACGCGCGCUACACUGACAAAGUCAUCGGGUUAUAACCUUGAUCGAUAGGUCUGGGUAAUCCUUUCAAACUUUGUCGUGAUGGGGAUUGACUAUUGCAAUUAUUAGUCAUGAACGAGGAAUUCCUAGUAAGCGUGAGUCAUCAGCUCGCGCUGAUUACGUCCCUGCCCUUUGUACACACCGCCCGUCGCUCCUACCGAUUGGAUGCUCCGGUUAGAUUUCCGGAUUGCGAGCAAAUCAAGAGCCUUAAAAACUCUUUUGCUUGUGAGAAGUUACUCAAACCUUAGCAUCUAGAGGAAGGAGAAGUC
rnacentral:rRNA from 1 species